GGCUCGUUGGUCUAGUGGAAAUGAUUCCAGAGUGUCAACCUGGAGACCGGGGUUCAAUUCCCCGACGAGCCGC
rnacentral:tRNA from 1 species